GGAAGGAUCAUUAACGAACUCUCGAGGGACGCAGUUGCUGCUGGGCUUCUUGGGAAGCCAACGUGCACACGGUCUUUCUUCUCGUUCAACCAAUCUACCCCUAUCUGUGCACUCCUCGUGAGCUGAGAACUCUCUCGGCUUAUGUCCUUUCCACAAAACACUCCCACUAAAUCAGUGAAUGAGCAGCCGUCUGAGCUUCGUCUCGACGUUAACCACUAACACACAACUUUCAACAACGGAUCUCUUGGCUCUCGCAUCGAUGAAGAACGCAGCGAAAUGCGAUAAGUAAUGUGAAUUGCAGAAUUCAGUGAAUCAUCGAAUCUUUGAACGCACCUUGCGCCCCCUGGUACUCCGGGGGGCAUGCCUGUUUGAGUGUCAUCAGAACCAUCAACCCGAAGGGCUUUCGAGGCCCGUCGGAGUUUGGACCUUGCGGCGUGGCGGGGGAGGCCCUUCGCGGGCCCCCCCGCUCCUCGCGGAAUGCAUCAGCGGACGUCCAUCAGCGGGACCAACCUCGGCGUGAUAAACAUCUACGUCUCGGCUCAGGCCCGUGUGUCUUUGGCUCUGCUUCGAACCGUCGGACCAUGCCGUGCGACAACCCAUUGACAACUUUGACCUCAAAUCAGGUAGGA
rnacentral:rRNA from 1 species